AGAGUUUGAUCCUGGCUCAGGAUGAACGCUAGCGGGAGGCUUAACACAUGCAAGUUGCACGGUAACGGGUCCUUCGGGAUGCCGACGAGUGGCGGACGGGUGCGUAACGCGUAUGCAACCUGCCUUAUGCAGGGGGAUAGCCCAUGGAAACGUGGAUUAAUACCCCAUAAAAUUAAUAAUCUGCAUGGUUUAUUAAUAAAAGCUACGGCGGCAUAAGAUGGGCAUGCGUCUGAUUAGUUAGUUGGUAGGGUAACGGCCUACCAAGGCGACGAUCAGUAGGGGUCCUGAGAGGGUAAUCCCCCACACUGGUACUGAGACACGGACCAGACUCCUACGGGAGGCAGCAGUGAGGAAUAUUGGUCAAUGGCCGCGAGGCUGAACCAGCCAUCCCGCGUGCAGGAUGACAGCCCUAUGGGUUGUAAACUGUUUUUCUACAAGAAGAAUUUCUGCGAUGAGUCGCGGGUUGACGGUAUUGUAGGAAUAAGCAUCGGCUAACUCCGUGCCAGCAGCCGCGGUAAUACGGAGGAUGCGAGUGUUAUCCGGAUUCAUUGGGUUUAAAGGGUGCGCAGGCGGGGAUGUAAGUCAGUGGUGAAAAGCUGCCGCUUAACGGUAGUCUUGCCAAUGAUACUGCAUUUCUUGAGUAUGGUUAAGGUAGGCGGAAUGUGCAGUGUAGCGGUGAAAUGCAUAGAGAUUGCACAGAACGCCGAUUGCGGAGGCAGCUUACUGAGCCAUAACUGACGCUGAGGCACGAAAGCGUGGGGAGCGAACAGGAUUAGAUACCCUGGUAGUCCACGCUGUAAACGAUGUUCACUCGCUGUUUGCGAUAUACAGUAAGCGGCUUAGCGAAAGCAUUAAGUGAACCACCUGGGGAGUACGAUCGCAAGUUUGAAACUCAAAGGAAUUGACGGGGGCCCGCACAAGCGGAGGAACAUGUGGUUUAAUUCGAUGAUACGCGAGGAACCUUACCUGGGCUUAAAUGUAUGCUGCAUUAUCGAGAGAUCGGUAUUUCCUUCGGGACUGCGUACAAGGUGCUGCAUGGUUGUCGUCAGCUCGUGCCGUGAGGUGUCGGGUUAAGUCCCAUAACGAGCGCAACCCUUACCGUUAGUUGCCAACAGGUAAAGCUGGGGACUCUGGCGGGACUGCCACCGUAAGGUGAGAGGAAGGUGGGGAUGACGUCAAAUCAGCACGGCCCUUAUGUCCAGGGCUACACACGUGUUACAAUGGCCGGUACAAAGGGCAGCUACCCCGUAAGGGGAUGCGAAUCUCUAAAUCCGGUCUCAGUUCGGAUUGGAGUCUGCAACCCGACUUCAUGAAGUUGGAUUCGCUAGUAAUCGCGCAUCAGCCAUGGCGCGGUGAAUACGUUCCCGGGCCUUGUACACACCGCCCGUCAAACCAUGGGAGCUGGAGGUGCCUGAAGUCUGUGAUCCUGAGUAAUUGGGAAGCGGCCUAGGGUAAAACUAGUGGCUGGGGUUAAGUCGUAACAAGGUA
rnacentral:rRNA from 1 species